UUACACUUAAUACAGUUAAAGAUGGCCACCCUCAAGCAGCUCUCAGCCAUGCAAGUGAGACAAUUGCAUUAACGAACAUUAUUCAUAUAACAUGAAAAGUUUUAUAAUAGUUUUAUGCAGAAUGCUAUGGGUAAACAGAAGAGAAAUUCUGUUGAUCAGGGGUGCUUUUAUAAACUUGAAUGUGGCAUUAUUUGCUGUGUAUCAAAUUUAUAUUUACAAAAUAACAGCCAUAUAAAACAAGUAUUUAGGGUCUUACACAGUCUUGGAGGCUCAAGAUCCAGGAGUAUCUUAGCUGGGUAGUUCUAAUUCAGGGUUUCCAAUGAGACUACAGGGAAGUUGUUGGCUGGAGCUGAUGCCAUGAGGGGCCUGGACAAUCUGCUUGCAAGUUCAUCGUGUGGCUGUAGUCAGGAGGCUUCGGUUCCUUGCCACUGGGCCUCUCCAAAGGGCUGUUCAUGUCGGCUUCCUCAUACAAGUAAUGAGAGAGACAGAGGCAAACAGAAACAGAGAAUCAGAAUACCAAGGUGGAAGCUGUAGUCAUCUUAUAACCUAAACUGGGAAAUGAUGUACUGUCACUUCUGCCAUAUUCUUCUACUAGUUAGAAGCAACUCACUAAAACCAGGCCAUACUUAAGGAGAAGGGAAUUAAACUUGAAGAGCAUCAAAGAAUUUGUGAACAUAUUUUUAGAACCAUCACAGGUAUGGAAAGAAGAGUAAGGUUUAGCUCAGUAGACAGGAACAAACUUAUGACAGGCAAGGGAAGAACAGAAACAAAAGAAUACAAAAUUAAGGGAGUUAUUGUUAUUCCCAUUUUAAAGAUGAGGAAACAGGCUUAGAAAGGUAAAGUAACUUUCCCAUCAUGUGUUAAACAGUAAGUGGCAGAGCCAGAUUCUGAACCCUAUUUUUAGUUCUAGAAUCCAGAUCUUAUCACUACCUGUAUUAGGCAAGUUUCUUCAGAGAAACAGAACCAAAAGGAUGCAACUCCAUCUAUAUCUACAUUUAUCUCUAUAUGGAGAGAGAGAAAGGGGAAUUUAUUCCAAGGAAUUAGCUCCCAUGAUCAUGGAGGUUUGGUAAUUCCAAAAUCUGCAGAGUAGGCCGGUGGUCUAGAGACCCAGGAAAGAGUUGCAGUUCAAGUCCAAAUGCAGUCUGCUGGCAGAAUUCCUUCUUGUUCAGAAAAGGUCAGUCUUUGUUCUAGUAAGGCCUUCAACUGAUUAGAUGAUGCCCACCCAUGUUAUGGAGGGUAAUCUGCUUUAUUUGAAGUCCAAUUUAAAUGUUAAAUCUCAUCCAAAAAAACACCUUCACAGAAACAUCCAAGAUAAUUGUUGACCAAAUAUCUGGGGACUACAGCCUAGCCAAGAUGACAGAUAAAAUUAACCAUCAUAACACCCUGUACAGUACAGACAAUUUGGGGUUCAGAUUGCAAAGGGCCCCAAAUGCCAUACUCAGCAGAUUGCUGAAUUUACAAAAAUUAACCAGUGGCUCUCUCAUGGCUUUCUGAUGUCUAACCAGACAUGACUUUGAACAUCUGAUAUUGGUGGGGCAUUCCCAUAGAAUAUUGUAAUUCUAUUAGGGAAUGUAUAUUGGAAUAUUUGUCAUGCUUCAUCUUCAGUACUAUUUUGACAAGUGAAAAAUUUGGUUUUAUUGACGUUACACUUUUUCCUUUCAAUGAUUUCCUUUCCAAUCCACAUAGUUUUAGUAAUUAGCCUUUCCCAUAUUUCAAAUGUUUACUCAUUUCAAAACUAUUUUUCUCUAUUCUCCUCACUUGGACUUUUUUCUCUUAACUUUUUCUUUUGUUUUCGUGCCUUUUUUCAAGGAUUCCUUUUAAGCCAUGCCUCCUACCAGACUGAAAUGCAAAAUUAGGAAGAAAGACAAAAAUGUAGGUGGGAACUAACGGACCCAGUUUGUAUACCAGCUGGACUUGGUGGUUCUAAAAGUAUAAAUAUUGUUCAAGCAUCUUUUCUUUGCAGAGGGUGCAUAAAAGAAAAGCUGUUUCAUCCUUGCUGCUGGAGAUAUUUUUCUUUGUAGCUAACAUCGAGCAGGAAAUUCUUUAUGUUUAUCUCGGAGCUUCAGAACUUGAAGUCAUAAUGGUUCCAGCCUAUUCUUUUGGCCCACUCCAUUCUGGGCCUUCGUCGAGAACAAGACACAUAUAGCGUGGGCAGGAGAGUCUUGUGAGGCCACUGGAAAGUGAUCUGAAUUACAAGUCUGUGGUUACAUCCUGCCAUAGCCGGAGAGAACAGGAUGCAAAGUCUGGACAACCAGCAGAGCCAAAGAUGCAACAAACUAGAAGGGAAACAGAGCUGGACUUGCAAAAUAAAUAGGGGCAGAGACCUGGUGGUAAAGCAUAAACGAAGUUUCGAGAAGAGUAAACGUUGAUCUGUUUGAUAGACAUUGAAAGAAUUUCAUCUCUGUUCUCUGCCUGGUUGCCUUUGCACAGCUGCGCUGCUGGCUCUCUUCAGAUGUGUGCUGACCUUGGCAUGACCUGUGGGGGUCACUGCCUCACAUUUUAUGCUUAGCCAACCAUCGCUAUCCUCAUUGCUGUUGUUGGAUUAGGUCCCUUGCAAGUCAGUAUCUAUGCUGUUCUAAGUAAAGAAAGAGUGAAGUGAA